rnacentral:tRNA from 1 species
CGCGGAGUGGAGCAGUUGGCAGCUCGCCGGGCUCAUAACCCGGAGGUCGAUAGUUCGAGUCUAUCCUCCGCUACCA